UAGAGUAUAGUGUAAUUUAGGUAGCACGAAGAUUUUUGAGUUCUUAGGAGCGGGUUCAAUUCCUGCAACUCUAG
rnacentral:tRNA from 1 species